GACGAACGCUGGCGGCGUGCCUAAUACAUGCAAGUCGAGCGGACCAAAGGGAGCUUGCUCCUGGAGGUUAGCGGCGAACGGGUGAGUAACACGUGGGCAACCUGCCUGUAAGACUGGGAUAACAUCGAGAAAUCGGUGCUAAUACCGGAGUAAUAAAAGAACUGCAUGGUUCUUUUUUGAAAGAUGGUUUCGGCUAUCACUUACAGAUGGGCCGCGGCGCAUUAGCUAGUUGGUGAGGUAACGGGCUCACCAAGGCAACGAUGCGUAGCCGACCUGAGAGGGUGAUCGGCCACACUGGGACUGAGACACGGCCC
rnacentral:rRNA from 1 species